rnacentral:tRNA from 1 species
GGGCCGCUAGCUCAGUGGUAGAGCACCUGACUUUUAAUCAGGGUGUCGCAGGUUCGAUCCCUGCGCGGCCCACCA